GCUGGGCGUGGUGGCGGGCGCCUGUGAUCCCAGCUACUCAGGAGGCUGAGGCACAAGAAUCGCUUGAACCCAGGAGGUAGAGGUUGCAGUGAGC
rnacentral:miRNA from 1 species